CCUACGGGGGACAGCAGUGAGGAAUAUUGGUCAAUGGGCGGGAGCCUGAACCAGCCAAGCCGCGUGAGGGAUGAAGGUACAGAGUAUCGUAAACCUCUUUUGUCAGGGAACAAAGGCGGGGACGUGUCCCCGGAUGAGUGUACCUGAAGAAAAAGCAUCGGCUAACUCCGUGCCAGCAGCCGCGGUAAUACGGAGGAUGCGAGCGUUAUCCGGAUUUAUUGGGUUUAAAGGGUGCGCAGGCGGUCUGUUAAGUCAGCGGUCAAAGCCCGGGGCUCAACCCCGGCCCGCCGUUGAAACUGGCAGUCUCGAGUUGGAGAGAAGUAUGCGGAAUGCGCGGUGUAGCGGUGAAAUGCAUAGAUAUCGCGCAGAACUCCGAUUGCGAAGGCAGCAUGCCGGCUCCACACUGACGCUGAGGCACGAAAGCGUGGGUAUCGAACAGGAUUAGAUACCCGUGUAGUC
rnacentral:rRNA from 1 species